CAAUUGAUCAAAUGCUUGAAUACCAUCAAAUGGGUAGUGGUGCUUAUGCAAGUCCUUUUUUUCUUAAUAUAAUUUGUGAUGUGGUGCUAAAUCUGUGUUUUACAUCGGGUUCGAAAUUACCAAUUGUUAUCCUCAUUUGAUCUAUAGAUGAUUUCUGAGUCACUGGAUUGGGAUUAAAGAUCUCAAGUCAUUCGAAACUUGAAGCGAAAUAGAUCUCGUGGUGGUAAUAAGUUAACCAAGUGUAACGAGUGAAAAAUGUGAAUAUGAGAUUGUCAUGUCUAGAGAAAUUUGUUGGUCUAAAUAAUGCAAUAAAUUAUUCCUUUACAAAUCAGAAGGAAUAGAAAAAUAUCUCCGAGAGAGCAGGCAAGCCAGGAAUGAAUGAGAGGGAAUCGGUCGGCUCUCUUAACGAGAAUCCCACGGCUGAAAAGACAGUUGAGCAAAAAAUACAUUAUUUGGAGUUACGAAUAGUUUUGUUACAAAUAAAAUUAUAUAUUAUACAAUAUUAAGAACCUGUUAAUUAUAUACGAAA
rnacentral:lncRNA from 1 species